AGGGGUUGUGGUGGUGGAAUGGGGUUAGGAGGGAAUCUGAGGCUGGUGACGGGGGGGUGAGAGGAGGGCAGGUGGGGUUCAGCUGGAAGGGAACGAAAGGAGCAAAUUUAGAGCGGAGUAACGUGUUCGUCAACAGUGACAGGGCAGAGCUGAAGAGUCUGAGAGGACAGCCGAGCUCCAACCUGCUCCAACUGGUGCUUCACGUCUUUGGGAAUGUUUACUGGAAGAAGCUGGAGUACCUGGAGAAAACCCACGCAUACACAGGGAGAACAUGCAAACUUGAUGCAGAAAGAUCCCAGGCCCGGGCAUGAACCAGGGAUCUUCUAGCUGCAGGGCGACGGUGUUAACCCCCGAGACACUGUGCAGUCCCCAAUUCAACAACAGACUAAUUCUCCAACUACAUAAUUCUCCUGAAUCACCACCGCGUCUUUCAGCAAACAUGCCGACAACAAUCCUUCAAAGAGACCAGCCACUUGGGCAAGAAGCUGCCCAGGCUGGUCCUCAGCAGGAUGGACCAGCUGGAGAGGUGCAGGAGCAGCAGAACCAGCAGGAACCAGCAGGAACCCAACCUGUACCUGAAUAACCUCACUGAAGCCUUUUUGGUCUUGCAAAAAGAAAAUAUGAUGCUGGUCUCAGAACCUGUCCUGAAGCAGAAAAUGGUUGUUAAUAAAGGCAUCUUCCAGACCUCGGACAAACUGACAAAGAAAGAGGAUGAGAUGGAGGAAAGAGAAAAAAAGAAAAGAAAGAACAUGAGAGAAGAGAGAAGUUGAGAAAGGAGGAAUAAUGGACUUUCUCUGCUUCUUCAAAUAUCCCUCUCUCCCCAAUCCUCCCCCUCAAUCCUCAUCUGCAUUUCUGUCCCACACUUCAUACAUGUCACAUACACAUAGUACUACUUAAAGUAGUAAAAAUGCAAUAUUAUAUUUUCAAAUAGUAAAUAAUAAAAUGAAGAAUAAUUAAAAAUACUACAAAUAAUUAUAUGAAAUUAAUAAUAAUAAAAAAAACAUUAUCUGAUGGUUUCAGUACAAAUAAAAAAAACAAAAAACACCUCCAUUCCCGUAAAAAAAAAAAAAAAAAAAAAGCUGUGUUAUGCUCCGACUAAAUUCAAACUUUGAACCUGAAUUCAAGUUAAAAAAACACAAAUGCUGCUGGACUACAAUGAGACAAAGGGAGGGGUGGACAACCUGUCAACACAUGACUGCCUGUUGGCCCCUUGUCAUCUUCUUCCACAUCAUUGAUAUUAGUGCAUGCGAUGCAUUUGUGAUAUGGUAUGAAAUAAAUAAGGACUGGAACGGGAAAACUGAGCCGAAGGAGGAUUUUCCUGGAGCAGCUUGGUAAUGCACUGGUGAAACCUCAGAUUGAGAGAAGACAGUGCCUUCCAAGAGCAUCAACAGCUGCAGCAGCUGUUGAGAGGACAUUCAGACAGAGACAAACACUCCAACUCCUCCAAUGGUACAAACCGCAGGCAAGAAGUGCGGCAGCAGUGAAGUGAAGCGUGGCGUCAGAGUUGGUAGGUCUGCGUAAUACAGCCGAGCAACUGGUCAAUGAAAAGUAACGCUGACCCCAGAGGUCACUGGGAGGGGUUUGUACUCCGAACAUUCGGAUCAAUAUUUGGAUACCACCAACCAACGAUGGAAUAUUAGGUCCAGCCCUACUGUAACCUAGUAGUUCUAUUAGCGUCUGUAUAUAAUCAAUGACUGACCGUCAAAUCAAAUAAAUCGAGUGCGGUUCAAAAACAUUUUGACAACAUUUGUUAACUGUACAUCUUAAAAUAAAGGACAGAAAAACAAUCAACAAUGUGAACCAGCUUAUAUACAUCUUUAACAAUACCUAAAUCUGAAAAAAAUUCAACAAUUGAACACUUUUACAUUUUUUCCUGUCUUCUAUCACUUCGCUUAAAUACCCUGCUGCUUAAUGGGAGAACUGAGCUGCAGCUGCCAGUAUUUUUAAAUGUGGCCUCAGUGGUGUCAGGGCCAUUCCCAAGAACAUUUGGAGCUCAUUGAUGAGUCUGGAAUGAUAUUUAGUUUUAAUUAUAUUCAUCCUUGAGAAAGCAGCCUUUAGCUGAACAUGGUCAGCAUGUGCAGGGCUACUUUCUCAGACCUGGGAAACCAGUUCUAGAGACCAUUUGGAGCCAGAAAAUGGCAGGGUUGGUUCCUCUGAACUGCUCUUUAAGGACCACAUGUACUUGGAGAUCAGCUUAUCAGCAAAGUCAACAAAAGAAGACUCAUCUCUCUGUCCCUGAACCUGUAUGCAAUGCUGUGAAGUGGACACAGUCUUCCUUCCAAGUUUCCUCUGAAAGGAGCAGGCAGCUGUCAACAGUUCACAAACUGAACUGUCCUUGCCCUGUAGCUUCAAAUUCAGUUCACUGUCAGGUGAUAUCUGUAAUGAUAACAGCAAAUGCAUAUUUGCCUAGUAUCAAUGGUUCAUGUGAAUGCUGCUUAUACCUCCGGACAGUAGGGGGCGUUCGGGGUCUGUGAGUAGAUUAAGCGCAGAGCACAGACGUGUUUAAGGUUCCUGUCUGUACAUGUGAUGAAGCCAAGUUUUAUAUAAAGUACCUUCUUCUUCAAGUAACGGCUUUAUUAUUAAGAACCCACAACAAAAACAAUACAUGGUGUCAGAAGGUGGUCUUGAAGAGAGGUAAUGGACGCAAAUAUAAACAACGAGGACGAGCUACCGAGGCAAGCUAAUGUUAGCCACCCAGCUAACAGUACCGACGCAUCAGCUCAGCAGUGAACUUUGUGUUGCUAACUGGUCGUGAGAGAAAGAGGACUAGCGACGACAACAUGGACGGCUUGCACCCACCACCAGCCCUUCAGCUUACUGGGAAUGUGGCUGAAAAUUGGAGGAGAUUUAAGCAACGCUUUGCUUUGUACAUAUCGGCAAUUGGACUUGACGAGGCAAGUGACAAAAAGCAAGUGGCAGUGUUUUUGCACGUAGUGGGUGAGGAUGCACUAGAAGUUUAUAAUAACUUCACGUUUGCUGAUGGAGACACAAUGAAGCUAAAUAAGAUAAUGGAGAAUUUUGAAGCUUACUGCAUACCUAAGAGAAAUGUGACAUUUGAGAGGCACAGAUUCUUCACAUGUGUACAGAAGACAGGAGAGACAAUCGAUCAGUAUGUAACAGAGGUACGGAACAGAAGUAAGUAGGGUUGCCACCUUUCAGAAAUGAAAAUAAAGGAUGCCCACCACGGCUCCUUGGGGCCACAGUUCAGUAAAAUCGGAAAGAUAUUCACAGAUUCAGAAUUCCACCAUCAAUAACUCAUUAUAAACGAUCCCUCUUUUCCAUCGCUGUAAGGUAGACAAUGUGCUACAAGCCUAGUUUUAUCAACAGUAGCUGUCUUUCAAGCUGCACAAAUAACAUUGGUGUCAACAGGAGCCAGUUGAAGGCUGCAGUGAUUCUGGUGACACUACAGUGUAUCAGAGAGAAGCUAUUGAAUAUUUGUGUCUCUCUUUGCUGUUGCAGCAGUUUUGCAAUUUGCACACGGUCCCUGUUCACUCCAUAGACAUCAAUGUUAUUCAUGCAGCUUGAAAGACAGCUACUGUUGAUAAAACUGGGCUUGUAGCACAUUGUCUACCUUACAACGAUGGAAAAGAGGCAUCGUUUAUGUUUUGACCAGUGUUGCCAACUCCUCAGUAAGGAAAGUAGCUAUUGGCUGUCCUAAAAGUCGCUAGAAGUCGCUAAAUGACCUCAUCGCCUAAUUUGCAUCAUUUCCCGUUUGCAUGUAAUUGUAAUCAACGUUGUAGGAGAGACAAAAAGUGAGUUUAAAAUACCCAAAAUAUGUUUCUGAACUAGAGGCUAAAUGCAGUGAUUUAUUUUAGUGUGACAGUGAAGAAACAUUUUCAUUUCCAUCCCGCUCUGUAAGCAGGACGGGAUCUGCAGAGACUUUGAUUUAUCUGCCGUCUGGACAUGGAGUGAUGUGGGUCUCCUUCCUCUAAUCAGACAGUGGGAUGCUGCAGGUCACUAGACUGACUUUCUGUGCUUUGGAAGGGGAGGAGCUCACAGCGCCACCUGCUGCUCGUUGAGGACAGUAACUGCAGAACGAUCCGAGCUUUCAUGUCAGACGGGCGGAUCUAGAUUAAUUUUAGUGGGGGGCACAGGAGGGUACAACAGAUAUUUUGGGGGGGCUGUAAGAAAAAAAUGAAAGCUGCUACCGUAUUUUUCAUGUUUUUUUUUUUUUUUUUUUGCUCUUUAACCCAAUAGGAAAGCUGUAUAUGACCUUUUCAUUUUUGGACUGUUAACAUUCAAAUUAUGAUGGACUUGUUUCCUUGUUUAUGUGAAUUACAGCAUCAUUAGCUGCAACAUCUGCCUGUUCUGUAAAACUGGUAGCUCAACGACAGCAUCCUGAGGGCAAUUAAGUGACAAAUACUGUGCAAGAACAGCACUAUUACAACCCUGUCAAUUUCCACUUCUUAGAAUGUUUACUGCCAAUUAUUACAUAUAAAACAAGAAAUAAUAUUCUGUACUAAUACUUCUGUACUACCCAAUACACAGUGAAUAAAUAUUAUCUGAAAGUUAGGUUAUUGUUGUUUAUCAGCACAAUACAAAAAGAUUCAUGUUAGUAAUAUUCCAGUUAAGACUCUAGAAUAUCAUGAUUUAUGUAAAUUUACCUCAAUAAUAUGAAUGUUCAGGUUAAGAUUGUACAGUGAUAUUUAUUAUGUAAGUUUAGCUGAAUAAAGUUUAUGACUCUGCACUACAAUAGUAUUUAUUAUUUAAAUUUACAUCAUUAUUAUAAUAUUUAGAGUCAGACUACAGUAUUGAGAUUAAGAAAUCAAAUAUUCUAUAAAAUGUAAAUACACUGAACUCAUUUGGAUAUAUUUAAGUGAGACUCUACAAUAUUCUUUGACACAAAUCUAUCUAAAUCAAAAAUUUUAACCAUUUUUACUCCAAACAUUUACUGGACUGAUUUAAAUAUUAAAAUCACUCCUUUCUAAUCCUCUGCUGUACGUUCAAACCUGAGGCCUUAAAUAGAAACACACAAGUAUCUGAUUGAAGGAACUUCUGCAGAGUCCUGGUUCCAGAACAUGAUGAUAGAAUUAUAGACAAACUUUAACAAAAGCUGCCUGAGAGUUUACAGGUUUUUAUGUUAGAUUUCUUCAGUAAUUUAAUGACAGUUAUCAGCAAAAAUCAAGUGUUCAUUUGAUGAACUUCAUUUCCUAAAACAUCCAGAAUUGGAGCUCAUAUCUUUGGCAGCUGUAAAGUUUCUGCUCCUUCAAAGUUCACAACACAAUGAAUGAAUUCCUAAAACACUCUCAAUGCUGGAGAGCGUUUGUGAUGCUGAAGCAGUGAUCAGUUUUUCUGUUUCUUCUCUGGAGAUGCACAAUGAGGGACGUCUGCAGAGACUGAGAAAGAGUCUCACCACAUCCUGACAUGAGGAAAAAGACUUUAUUGAAGACUACAAUGAGAAAAACUAUCAGACAGCAGACGGCUGCAUUCAAGGUGAGCUCUGAACAUUUGAUCUGGAACAGGAAUUCAAUAACGGCAGCAUGAGCUUCAUUUCAGUCUGUAGCUGCUGAAUUCAUGGAUGAAUCAUCUGGCACUAGAGAGGAAGACCAUCAAACAUCCACGUCAGCUGAUGGAGGUCCAAGAGUCUCACCCAACAAACAACCUACAGAGUGAAGACCUCAAAUCUGAUUGGACGGCCUCCUAUUCAGCCACAUGUGUGAACAAAUGCCUCUAAGCUGAUUUGUUUUCUAAAAUAAAUCUAGUUUGAGUCCUAA